GGGGGUCUCCAUGGCGCCCGCGCCGCCAAUCCGCCCAUUCCAGUAGCGGCGCCAGUUCGCCGGCCUGCGUGCCCUAACGGAGCCCAGCCGAACCCGGGCGGCGGGGCCGGCACCUCCUCCAAUCCCUCCUGCUCGCUCGCUCCCAGCCGUUGCGCCGCCGCGCUGCCCGGGUCGUGCGUCCCGGCUGCCCUAAGCCGCUUCACCGAGGAGAGCCUGGCGCACCCCGCCAGGCCCGCCGACAUCUGCUGCGUGUCCGGUUCCGCUCUCCGCGCCCCCGCUGCAGUCGGCGCUGCCUCGAUGUUCCAGUUGCCCAUCUUGAAUUUCAGUCCCCAGCAAGUGGCCGGGGUAUGCGAGACUCUGGAGGAGAGCGGCGACGUAGAGCGCCUGGGUCGCUUCCUCUGGUCGCUGCCCGUGGCCCCUGCGGCCUGUGAGGCCCUCAACAAGAAUGAAUCGGUGCUGCGCGCGCGAGCCAUCGUGGCCUUUCACGGCGGCAACUACCGCGAGCUCUAUCAUAUCCUGGAAAACCACAAGUUCACCAAGGAGUCGCACGCCAAGCUGCAGGCGCUGUGGCUCGAAGCGCAUUACCAGGAGGCUGAGAAGCUGCGUGGACGGCCCCUGGGGCCGGUGGACAAGUACCGCGUGAGGAAGAAGUUCCCGCUGCCGCGCACCAUUUGGGACGGCGAACAGAAGACACACUGCUUCAAGGAGCGCACGAGGCAUCUGCUACGGGAAUGGUAUCUGCAGGACCCAUACCCUAACCCCAGCAAAAAGCGUGAGCUCGCCCAGGCAACCGGACUGACCCCUACGCAGGUGGGCAACUGGUUCAAAAACCGCCGACAAAGGGACCGGGCGGCUGCAGCCAAGAACAGGUCGGUACCUAGAGGCCUACGCUCCUUGCGCUCACCCUGGUGGGUCGGGCGAAGGCGCCCCAGGGGCCCUUUCCCAGGGCCCAGCGACUUGGAUCCGAAGGAGUUGAGAGCUCAGUCUGUCUUCAGUUAUGAGCCCACUGCGUUCUGGGAUCCUGGGCGGGUAAGGGGGGCGGGGGGCGGGGGGAGUUCCUUCCGGGCUCUUGGUUCUCCAUUCUCUCCCUCAUUCUUGGAACUUAGGGGGUCGCCCCAGCCGCUGGUUCCAGUCAUAAAACCAAGGCUGCAUUGAAAAGAGGAAAGAUUAAACAUUAAAAUGUGUAAACAUUAAAAUUCCAGCAACAUUUAGGGACCCCCAAGGACCAAAGCUAAUUCUUGUCAGCCUGGGCCCAGGCUCCUAUUAAGCGAAGCCUGACUUAUUAGCAAUGUGGCAGUAUUGUAAAUCUCACAAAGGCGGCCAACAACCGCGAACGAACCUGUGAGCCCAGCAU